GACGAACGCUGGCGGCGUGCCUAAUACAUGCAAGUUGAGCGAUGAAGAUUGGUGCUUGCACCAAUUUGAAGAGCAGCGAACGGGUGAGUAACGCGUGGGGAAUCUGCCUUUGAGCGGGGGACAACAUUUGGAAACGAAUGCUAAUACCGCAUAACAACUUUAAACAUAAGUUUUAAGUUUGAAAGAUGCAAUUGCAUCACUCAAAGAUGAUCCCUCGUUGUAUUAGCUAGUUGGUGAGGUAAAGGCUCACCAAGGCGAUGAUACAUAGCCGACCUGAGAGGGUGAUCGGCCACCUUGGGACUGAGACACGGCCCAAACUCCUACGGGAGGCAGCAGUAGGGAAUCUUCGGCAAUGGACGAAAGUCUGACCGAGCAACGCCGCGUGAGUGAAGAAGGUUUUCGGAUCGUAAAACUCUGUUGGUAGAGAAGAACGUUGGUGAGAGUGGAAAGCUCAUCAAGUGACGGUAACUACCCAGAAAGGGACGGCUAACUACGUG
rnacentral:rRNA from 1 species